UCUCCGUAGGUGAACCUGCGGAGGGAUCAUUACAAGUGACUCCGGUCUAACCACCGGGAUGUUCAUAACCCUUUGUUGUCCGACUCUGUUGCCUCCGGGGCGACCCUGCCUUCGGGCGGGGGCUCCGGGUGGACACUUCAAACUCUUGCGUAGCUUUGCAGUCUGAGUAAACUUAAUUAAUAAAUUAAAACUUUUAACAACGGAUCUCUUGGUUCUG
rnacentral:misc_RNA from 1 species